rnacentral:lncRNA from 1 species
UGACCACUUGGGAAGCCCUCGUGUUGCACCUAUUUUUUUUCGGAUGGGUUGUUCGACGUUACGCGCGAAUGGAAUUAUAAACUGCUGGUUCAUUUGCAAAGGUGAGUCACGGUGCCGGGGCAUAUUACUUGAUAUUAGAACGAGAAAGAGAGAUGCAGAGUGCACGCACAAGGAAACAAAUGACGGGAGGGGGGAUGGAAGGAGAAAGAAUGUAUGUAUUUGCAGUGCAGAAUGAAACAUGAGGGAUCAUACCAGCACUAAU